rnacentral:rRNA from 1 species
UACGAAGGGGGCUAGCGUUGCUCGGAAUCACUGGGCGUAAAGCGCGCGUAGGCGGACCUGCAAGUCGGGGGUGAAAGCCCGAGGCUCAACCUCGGAACUGCCUUCGAUACUGCGGGUCUCGAGUCCGGGAGAGGUGAGUGGAAUUCCUAGUGUAGAGGUGAAAUUCGUAGAUAUUAGGAAGAACACCAGUGGCGAAGGCGGCUCACUGGCCCGGUACUGACGCUGAGGCGCGAAAGCGUGGGGAGCAAACAGGG